rnacentral:snRNA from 1 species
GUACCUUGGGAACAUCCAAUCAAAUUGGAACAAUACAGAGAAAAUUAGCAUGGCCCUGCGCAAGGAUGACACGCACAAAUCGAAAACUCAUCUCU